GAUGAAGAACGCAGCGAAAUGCGAUAAGUAAUGCGAAUUGCAGAAUUCAGUGAGUCAUCGAAUCUUUGAACGCACAUUGCGCCCUGUGGUAUUCCGCAGGGCAUGCCUGUUCGAGCGUCAUUUCAACCCUCAAGCACGGCUUGUGUGUUGGGCCUCCGUCCUCCUCCCGGGGGACGGGCCCGAAAGGCAGCGGCGGCACCGCGUCCGGUCCUCGAGCGUAUGGGGCUUCGUCACCCGCUCUUGUAGGCCCGGCCGGCGCUUGCCGACACAUCAAUCUUUUUUCCAGGUUGACCUCGGAUCAGGUAGGGAUACCCGCUGAACUUAAGCAUAUCAAUAAGCGGAGGA
rnacentral:misc_RNA from 1 species